GUGGGUGAUGCAGUUAAAGGGAGGGACUGUGACUGUUCCCAGAACAAGGGUCAUCUGUUUUCUUUCAGGGGAUUUGGCUCCAAUUUCAGCAUUUUGAAGAACAGUGAGGCCCUUUUAUCUGCUGGGGAAGGGCUUUUGGGGAGAGGAGCAGGGCAGGCUUGUUUCUCCCUUGUGUGAUAACUCAUUUUAGACCCUCACAUAAAACCUGGCAUCUGCUUUACGACUUGGGGAAGUGCCCUUAUGGUGGGGACACUGAGGAGCCAUUGCAAUCCCUGUCUCCAGGACCAGGCAGGUUGAAAACUGCCUACCCUUCCCAGCAUUUGGGGCCAGCCAGAUGCCCUGUUGGGAGCUGUUUUGCAGCCCAGCUUAGCCCGAAUACUUCUCCUGGGGUGAAUGCUCAGGAUCUGCUUCCUAAGUCCUUUUGGUUCUAUUUCUGCCC